rnacentral:rRNA from 1 species
ACUCGGGUGAAGGAACUAGGCAAAAUGGUGCCGUAACUUCGGGAGAAGGCACGCUGAUAUGUAGGUGAAGUCCCUCGCGGAUGGAGCUGAAAUCAGUCGAAGAUACCAGCUGGCUGCAACUGUUUAUUAAAAACACAGCACUGUGCAAACACGAAAGUGGACGUAUACGGUGUGACGCCUGCCCGGUGCCGGAAGGUUAAUUGAUGGGGUCAGCGCAAGCGAAGCUCUUGAUCGAAGCCCCGGUAAACGGCGGCCGUAACUAUAACGGUCCUAAGGUAGCGAAAUUCCUUGUCGGGUAAGUUCCGACCUGCACGAAUGGCGUAAUGAUGGCCAGGCUGUCUCCACCCGAGACUCAGUGAAAUUGAACUCGCUGUGAAGAUGCAGUGUACCCGCGGCAAGACGGAAAGACCCCGUGAACCUUUACUAUAGCUUGACACUGAACAUUGAGCCUUGAUGUGUAGGAUAGGUGGGAGGCUUAGAAGUGUGGACGCCAGUCUGCAUGGAGCCGACCUUGAAAUACCACCCUUUAAUGUUUGAUGUUCUAACGUUGACCCGUAAUCCGGGUUGCGGACAGUGUCUGGUGGGUAGUUUGACUGGGGCGGUCUCCUCCUAAAGAGUAACGGAGGAGCACGAAGGUUGGCUAAUCCUGGUCGGACAUCAGGAGGUUAGUGCAAUGGCAUAAGCCAGCUUGACUGCGAGCGUGACGGCGCGAGCAGGUGCGAAAGCAGGUCAUAGUGAUCCGGUGGUUCUGAAUGGAAGGGCCAUCGCUCAACGGAUAAAAGGUACUCCGGGGAUAACAGGCUGAUACCGCCCAAGAGUUCAUAUCGACGGCGGUGUUUGGCACCUCGAUGUCGGCUCAUCACAUCCUGGGGCUGAAGUAGGUCCCAAGGGUAUGGCUGUUCGCCAUUUAAAGUGGUACGCGAGCUGGGUUUAGAACGUCGUGAGACAGUUCGGUCCCUAUCUGCCGUGGGCGCUGGAGAACUGAGGGGGGCUGCUCCUAGUACGAGAGGACCGGAGUGGACGCAUCACUGGUGUUCGGGUUGUCAUGCCAAUGGCACUGCCCGGUAGCUAAAUGCGGAAGAGAUAAGUGCUGAAAGCAUCUAAGCACGAAACUUGCCCCGAGAUGAGUUCUCCCUGACUCCUUGAGAGUCCUGAAGGAACGUUGAAGACGACGACGUUGAUAGGCCGGGUGUGUAAGCGCAGCGAUGCGUUGAGCUAACCGGUACUAAUGAACCGUGAGGCUUAACCUU